CUUUGAUCAAAAUCAGGCGAAGGCCAAUAUUUUCAUCUGCCAUAUUUCUCGCCUUUUUCUUUUGAUGAUAACACACAUACACACACACAACUAAUUUCUCAAAUAUCCUCUUUUUUCAGUGUUUAUAAUUAGGGUUUCUGGGGGGGAGAAGAUCCUUCUUCAAAAUCUAAUUUCUGAUGAGAUGCAAUGAAUAUGUUGCAUCUAGAUGCAGUGGAGGAUCUUUUUCGAUCCAAUGGUGAAAUUAAGGAGCAUAACACAAACAUGUAAGGUCUUUGAUUAUCACAAUCGAUUUACAUUAUUGGAAAAGGUGGAUCGACGAAGAACAUUAUGCCAUGAGUACUUAUGUGAGUUGAAUUGAAAAAUCAAUACGAAAAGCAGUUGGAUUGCUCAUGCCUAAAUCACACUUGCCUUGGCUUGAUUACAAGGGUCAUCUUUGAAUUAUAGAAUGGAUGGUUAUGGUAAUGUGGAAGAGAUGUGGGAAAGAUGGAAGAGGCGAUGGUAGAUGAGAACUCGAAGGAGAAUGAAGGAAGGUUGAAAUAACAAAGCUGAAAACAGAAGUUGUAGAAGAAGUUAAGAUGUUAGCUACUGUCAGUUGAAUAGUUAUAAUUGAAUAUAAUCUCCUUUAAAUAGCUUGUACACACUGUUGAGAAACUCAAGAAAGUAAUGAAUACCAUCUUCAUGAA